GAUGAACGCUGGCGGCGUGCUUAACACAUGCAAGUCGAACGGGAUUCCAUCAGGCUUUGCUUGGUGGUGAGAGUGGCGAACGGGUGAGUAAUGCGUGACCGACCUGCCCCAUACACCGGAAUAGCUCCUGGAAACGAGUGGUAAUGCCGGAUGCUCCGACUCCUCGCAUGGGGUGUCGGGAAAGAUUUCAUCGGUAUGGGAUGGGGUCGCGUCCUAUCAGGUAGUCGGCGGGGUAACGGCCCACCGAGCCUACGACGGGUAGCCGGCCUGAGAGGGUGACCGGCCACAUUGGGACUGAGAUACGGCCCAGACUCCUACGGGAGGCAGCAGUGGGGAAUAUUGCACAAUGGGCGCAAGCCUGAUGCAGCGACGCCGCGUGCGGGAUGACGGCCUUCGGGUUGUAAACCGCUUUUGAUCGGGAGCAAGCCUUCGGGUGAGUGUACCUUUCGAAUAAGCACCGGCUAACUACGUGCCAGCAGCCGCGGUAAUACGUAGGGUGCAAGCGUUAUCCGGAAUUAUUGGGCGUAAAGGGCUCGUAGGCGGUUCGUCGCGUCCGGUGUGAAAGUCCAUCGCUUAACGGUGGAUCUGCGCCGGGUACGGGCGGGCUGGAGUGCGGUAGGGGAGACUGGAAUUCCCGGUGUAACGGUGGAAUGUGUAGAUAUCGGGAAGAACACCAAUGGCGAAGGCAGGUCUCUGGGCCGUUACUGACGCUGAGGAGCGAAAGCGUGGGGAGCGAACAGGAUUAGAUACCCUGGUAGUCCACGCCGUAAACGGUGGAUGCUGGAUGUGGGGCCCGUUCCACGGGUUCCGUGUCGGAGCUAACGCGUUAAGCAUCCCGCCUGGGGAGUACGGCCGCAAGGCUAAAACUCAAAGAAAUUGACGGGGGCCCGCACAAGCGGCGGAGCAUGCGGAUUAAUUCGAUGCAACGCGAAGAACCUUACCUGGGCUUGACAUGUUCCCGACAGCCGUAGAGAUAUGGCCUCCCUUCGGGGCGGGUUCACAGGUGGUGCAUGGUCGUCGUCAGCUCGUGUCGUGAGAUGUUGGGUUAAGUCCCGCAACGAGCGCAACCCUCGCCCUGUGUUGCCAGCACGUCAUGGUGGGAACUCACGGGGGACCGCCGGGGUCAACUCGGAGGAAGGUGGGGAUGACGUCAGAUCAUCAUGCCCCUUACGUCCAGGGCUUCACGCAUGCUACAAUGGCCGGUACAACGGGAUGCGACACGGCGACGUGGAGCGGAUCCCUGAAAACCGGUCUCAGUUCGGAUUGGAGUCUGCAAACCCGACUCCUUGAAGGCGGAGUCGCUAGUAAUCGCGGAUCAGCAAACGCCGCGGUAAAUGCGUUUCCCGGGCCU
rnacentral:rRNA from 1 species